UAUAAAGCCAAUAAGGCUUCGCUUGCUGAUUAUUAUGAAAAUAAAAAAUUACUUAAAUAAAAUUUGUUCUAUACGAAAUAAAUAAAUGGCGUCCAUAGUGGAGCAUACAUGUUUUUAUUUCGCUCCGCCACCUCGUAAUAGAUACUUAUUUAUAAGUAAAUUUUACCGCCACUCAGGACCAAUGGCCAACCAGUUCCCGCGACGAUCGGUUCUUUGCACCGGAACGAGCUUGCUCACUUACAGGAGCUUGACGAGGAUCGCCAUCUCCCCAUAAACAACUAGACUACCUGCUUCGGUGUCAUCCUCUCUUGUUUUGUUAUUGUAUGAUGGCCCCCCUAGCAGUAGAGUUUUGCACGAAUUAUUAGAGCUUUUUGUAUCAUCGAUAACAUUCCCGAUGUGUCGAAAAUUCAGUACCAGGUCUUGCAGAAUACGAAAAUAUAUUCGAAAUUCGGUCGACAGAAUAGUAUACGGUAAGGCCAUAAUGCAAUGGUGUGAACAUGUGUAAAUGCUCAAGCCUUUGCUAUUGCCUACUAAAGUUAUUUGUUUGGGCGAAGGAUUUUAAGUUGGAUUGGACAAUCGGCAAGGUUAUCUGAUGACUGUAGUGCAGAUCAAGGGAAGGUAUUGCAAAUCGAAAACGUAUUGGAGUGUAUAAAUAAUUUUUCAAAAUGGAUACCGAUGAUCGCCAAUGAGAUGGUUGAACCGUUUGACUUGUACUGGCUACAAAUAAAUUGUGAAGCAGCGAGCUUGCCUCUAGAGAAAAGUUGUCACAGUUUAUCGUGUGUUUCAUCCUUAAUUUGCUUACUGGGUACUGCAUAAUAUUUUAAUAUUGGAAUUCUGCAACUUGGAUGGUAUGCGACCAGAGCGAUUUAAUAGAUGAGUAAGAUUGGCAGGGAAGAUGAACACAUAUAUAGCCAUUGGCAGCAAUCAUAGCCCAGAAAGAAUUGCCGAAGUAGGUUAUUUCUUUCAGGUGUUUAGUCGACGGAUUGUCUUCAUGAAAGGCAUUCGCUUAUAAUUUGUGCACUCCUUCCUCCUCGAGCAUGCUAUUUACAACAAUCUGAUUUCCUGCUUGGCCUAGAUGCUUCUUUUUGUAGCCUUGAAACCGUCGGUCCAGCUCAGGAAGAUUCAAAAUUAGUUAUCCGAGAAGUGGUUGUUUGGUUAAUCCUCAAGGUGGCGAAUUGGAUGGCUGCUGCGAUAUCUGAUCAGUAGAUACUACUUACACAACCUAUAAUUGUGCUUUCGCACAUCAAGGAUCUAUGUAUGCUAAUGGAUAUGGACCCUAAAGACCCUAAGACUUUAAAAUAUUAUAAUAAUUUUGUUCUUAAGUAUAAAUAUAUAAUAUUAAAUGAAUGACUAUUCAGUUGAGACAAUUUCAAUGAAAAAUAUAUAAUAAUUUUAAUAAUAAAUUACAUGGAACAAGAUAUGAAUUAACACAAAACAAUGGUUGCCUACUCUUAUAACUUCAGAAACAUAAAGUAGCUGAGCACAGUAAUUAAAAUUCUGAAAUUUGAUAUCAAUAA